UACAGAGGGUGCAAGCGUUGUUCGGAAUUAUUGGGCGUAAAGCGCGUGUAGGCGGCUUUGCAAGUCGGGUGUGAAAGCCCUCAGCUUAACUGAGGAAGUGCGCCCGAAACUGCUUGGCUUGAGUACCGGAGAGGAUGGCGGAAUUCCCCAAGUAGAGGUGAAAUUCGUAGAUAUGGGGAGGAACACCGGUGGCGAAGGCGGCUACCUGGACCGGUACUGACGCUGAGGCGCGAAAGCUAGGGUAGCAAACAGG
rnacentral:rRNA from 1 species